rnacentral:tRNA from 1 species
AAAUUUUUAUUUUAUUUAAAAUAUUUCAUUUACAAUGAAAAGAUAAUAAUUUUUAUUAAAAUUUA